rnacentral:rRNA from 1 species
AACGAGCGCUGGCGGCGUGCUUAACACAUGCAAGUCGAACGAGAACGGGCUAUAGCUUGCUAUAGUUGUCAGCUAAGUGGCGCACGGGUGAGUAAUGUAUAGGUAAUAUGCCUCUUACUAAGGGAUAACAAAUGGAAACGUUUGCUAAUACCUUAUACUCCUUAUUAACAGAAGUUAAUAAGGGAAAGAUUUAUUGGUAAGAGAUUAGCCUGUAUUGUAUCAGUUAGUUGGUGGGGUAAUGGCUUACCAAGACUAUGACACAUAACUGGUUUGAGAGGAUGAUCAGUCACACUGGAACUGAGACACGGUCCAGACUCCUACGGGAGGCAGCAGUGGGGAAUAUUGCACAAUGGACGAAAGUCUGAUGCAGCAACGCCGCGUGGAGGAUGACACAUUUCGGUGCGUAAACUCCUUUUAUAUGAGAAGAUAAUGACGGUAUUAUAUGAAUAAGCACCGGCUAACUCCGUGCCAGCCGCCGCAGUAAUAC